rnacentral:misc_RNA from 1 species
GUUUGCUAAUAGUAUGUGGUGUUGUUAAAUAACUCUCUUCAGACACGUCACUGCUGAGUGAUGGGCAUAUCACGGAACGAUUGGUUUACUGUCCCAAGCCUCUCUUACUUCGACUAAAUCCGGACGGUAUCUCUUAGCUAGAACUUCUACUUGAUCAGUAAAUGACUUGUUUCCAAGUUGACCUAUGUGAAGAAUCAUUUGGUUCCAUCUCUUUCGACAUAUCUCUCCAGGCCUGUGGUCAAGAAGAUUGUCCCAGUCCACAUCUUCUAUGCAGCUUGCAUCCAGCUCAAAAAGUGCAUCAACUAGGCGAUAGUCAUCAGUAUCCGCCCAUUCACCUUUGGCCACCAUGGGUGAUGUCAAUUGAUCAUACCAUUUUAAGCAGCAAUUUGCAUCAGUUCUCGUGGACAAGUUUUCACUUAUUGCACCCCAUGCAAUAUUAUCCCGUAGCAUCCCAUGCUUAGAUUUUUUCUCUUCAGAAAGCUUCAGUCUCAGAUCGGUGUUUACUAAAUCAAACAAAUUCUGGUACUCCUCUUGAGUCCAUUGUCCUUUAUUUCGAUUGGGCAGUUUUAUCCUUCGCCAUGUAUCCUUCACAUGCCACCGAUGUUUUCCAAGUUCAUCAGCUAAGACCUUCCAAUUAUUCCCAUGCUCUUUCUGGAACUUCAGUACCAUCUCAUACUCUUCUUCAGUCCAUUUACGUGAUUCACUCCUUCGAAACAGGACCUGUGCACGACAAUAAAAUGCCUUAGAAGGUCUGUAUGGUAGAGCACUCCCAAUUUCUUUCCAGCAACCCUUUAUUUCAGGAUAAGAUCUAGCAUUUAAAACCUUUUUCAGCCCUUCUUCGCCUAAGUUAUGUACCUCUAUGUAUUUAUGAACAGCCUCUUUGAUAAUUUCAG